rnacentral:rRNA from 1 species
GACGAACGCUGGCGGCGUGCUUAACACAUGCAAGUCGAACGGAAAGGCCCUGCUUUUGUGGGGUGCUCGAGUGGCGAACGGGUGAGUAACACGUGAGUAACCUGCCCUUGACUUUGGGAUAACUUCAGGAAACUGGGGCUAAUACCGGAUAGGAGCUCCUGCUGCAUGGUGGGGGUUGGAAAGUUUCGGCGGUUGGGGAUGGACUCGCGGCUUAUCAGCUUGUUGGUGGGGUAGUGGCUUACCAAGGCUUUGACGGGUAGCCGGCCUGAGAGGGUGACCGGCCACAUGGGGACUGAGAUACGGCCCAGACUCCUACGGGAGGCAGGAGUGGAGAAUAUUGCACGAUGGGCGGAAGCCUGAUGCAGCAACGCCGCGUGCGGGAUGACGGCCUUCGGGUUGUAAACCGCUUUCGCGUGUGACGAAGCGUGAGUGACGGUAAUGGGUAAAGAAGCACCGGCUAACUACGU